rnacentral:rRNA from 1 species
GAAAGCCGGAUUAAUACCGCAUACGCUCUACGGAGGAAAGGGGGGGAUCGCAAGACCUCCCGCUACAGGGGCGGCCGAUGGCAGAUUAGCUAGUUGGUGGGGUAAAGGCCUACCAAGGCGACGAUCUGUAGCUGGUCUGAGAGGACGACCAGCCACACUGGGACUGAGACACGGCCCAGACUCCUACGGGAGGCAGCAGUGGGGAAUUUUGGACAAUGGGGGAAACCCUGAUCCAGCAAUGCCGCGUGUGUGAAGAAGGCCUUCGGGUUGUAAAGCACUUUUGUCCGGAAAGAAAUCCUUUGAGCUAAUACCCUGUGGGGAUGACGGUACCGGAAGAAUAAGCACCGGCUAACUACGUGCCAGCAGCCGCGGUAAUACGUAGGGUGCAAGCGUUAAUCGGAAUUACUGGGCGUAAAGCGUGCGCAGGCGGUCCGCUAAGACAGAUGUGAAAUCCCCGGGCUUAACCUGGGAACUGCAUUUGUGACUGGCGGGCUAGAGUAUGGCAGAGGGGGGUAGAAUUCCACGUGUAGCAGUGAAAUGCGUAGAGAUGUGGAGGAAUACCGAUGGCGAAGGCAGCCCCCUGGGCCAAUACUGACGCUC